rnacentral:lncRNA from 1 species
UUUAGCUUUUUGAUCAAAAAUUAAAUCUAAAGCAGUCUGAGUUUUAGGCCACUACGCAAUGUAGGUAAAUAUAAUGAAUAAAUUAGGAUGUCCAUGUUAUCUAUGAAUAGCAAUAGCAUUAUGAUAGUUCUGAAUCAUAUAUUUUGGAUUUCUGAUAAAAUUUGAUAGUAAAAUAAAGUUUUUUUCUAUUGCAUCACCAUCAAUAUCACCACAAACAAUGGC